UACGGAGGGAGCUAGCGUUGUUCGGAAUUACUGGGCGUAAAGCGCGCGUAGGCGGUUUUUCAAGUCAGUGGUGAAAGCCCGGGGCUCAACCUCGGAAUAGCCUUUGGAACUGGAAAACUAGAAUCUUGGAGAGGUCAGUGGAAUUCCGAGUGUAGAGGUGAAAUGCGUAGGUAUGCGGAAGAACACCAGUGGCGAAGGCGACUGACUGGACAAGUAUUGACGCUGAGGUGCGAAAGCGUGGGGAGCAAACAGG
rnacentral:rRNA from 1 species